UUCAAGACAAAGGGAUACGACUUAAACAUCAGAAAAAUAUUAUUGAAAGUUCGAGUUACAUGUACUACAUUUAAUUUUUAACAUAAAAGACAAGUUGUGAUCUUGAAAUGCGAAAUUAACCUGAAAGUUUAAAAAAGAUUUGUAAGUUUAAUGUUUGUAUGCUCGAUAACAAAGACAUUUCGGCAGGUGUUUAUCUUGGUUUCUAAACAAAUUUAUUUGUCAUUGUACUGUAUAUGGUGUAAAAAUUUAUAUGAAUACGAGUAAGAUACGAGUAUAAUACAAAACUGUACAUGUUUUUGUUUGUCAUAUUAUUUGAGAGAGAGAGAGAGAGAGAAAGGUAUAUAUUUUUAAUAUGUUUUUUUGUUAUAUUAUUUGAGAAAGAGAGAGGGGGAGAGAAAACUCGGUUAUCCUGAAAGUCGGAGACUUAGACAUACUACAUUGUUAUUAUAAGAACAAGACAAUUAGAUAAUUAAGGGGGAUGUAUAUUUAUUUCCCUCGUACUAAUAUAUUUACCAUUUAUAAAAAUACGUGAAUGAUAAUCAUCUGAAAAUUCACAGAUUUUUAAAAUAUUGUUAAGUAUAGUAGUGUCACGCAAUGCUGUCUAUCAACUAACACGGAAUAAAGAUAAACUAUUGAGGUAUGAUAAUUUACUAAUUAUGAUUGAUAUUUGCGAUUGGUAGAUAAGUUUGGCAUAUUGUAACUAAUAUAUAAUUGUUUUAUUGCUAAUUUUGGCAUGUUUAGUACUCAGUAAUUGUCCCCUAAAGGUUCUAUAGCUAUAAACGCCAUAUUAUUCGUGUUUCCACUCAAAUACAAUCAUUGUACAUUUUGAAAGAAUAUUUACUUUAUACAUUUUAUAAACAAAAAUUGGAGUUUCAAAACUGGUAAUAUAUUAGACAUUACAAGGUUAGAUAUAUUUUGAACACUUUGUCUGUGAUACUUCUUUUUUUACUUGUUAUUCCGUGACACAGGUUUUAUUUGGAAAACGAAAAAAAGUGUCGGUAUAUGUCUUUUUGUACUCGUUAUUCUGUUACAGGUUUUAUUUGUAAAUGAAAAAAAGUUUUGGUAGUUUAUAUAUUAGAUACAUGUACAUGUAGUUUCCUGUUUAAUCAUUCCGUCAUUACGUCUAGACAGUAAAACAUGUUGGUUUCUGUAUAACGGUAAUACUUUUCUGAUACCUUUGCAUACUCCUGUUUCGUAGUUAUUAUAAUUUUCAUGUUUUCGUAGUUAUUAUAAUUUUCAUGUUUUAGUAGUUAUUAUAAUUUUCAUUUAUUUGGAAGAAUUCAAAAUGAUUAAUAUAGAUAAUUAAUUGAAAAAUGAUAAGAGAACGACCAUUUGACUUCAAGUUUGUGAUGUUUUUUUUACUAAAAUAUUAUUCCGAUCCCGAACUUGAUGAUAACAAAUAUUGUAGUCAACCAGAUGACAAAAAAAUCUGAUUUGCCUCCAUACCUCAUAGUGUUGAAUUUUGAGGAAGAAAAAAUUUCUAAAAAAAAUACCAGUAUCCCCCCCCCUUUUAAGUUGAUGGUUGGUAUACAGUGGGAUGGCCUACAGAUUAACAGGCUAACAAUACGAUACAAAUGGCUCGUAUCGGGAUCUAAUUACAUUCGCACCCACACGUUCGCCCCAUAGGCCAGGAAUCUGUCGAUUUGAUUUAUUUAAAAAGAAAAUAAACAGGAAGUGUUCAUUACAAAAUGAAUUGACAAACUAAAUCAAUAAAUCAAAAUAAUUGUAAAAUUUUAGCGAUUUCUGUAAUUUAGUUCUCUUUUUAUUUCGAUAUUACCGCUAUUUCUCCUAUUAGUUCUACAGAAAUUAACAAAAAUGUAUGCUUCUUUCGAAGGCAGAUUGUGAGCGUAAAUGAACGGUGACCCCAUUUUUUUAUUUCAUUUUUCUAUUUAGUAUAAGAUAAAGUUCAUUUAUAGACAAAUAUAGAGAAAUCCUAUAUUAAAUAAAAAAUUUCAUUUAGAUCCGCGAGCCCCCUUAAGUAGUUUUAAAAAGAACAUCAAACAGAUGCAUACAUGUAAUAAUUUUCAAUUAUCACAUUAAGGUGACCGUGUUCUAAAAAUAACAAGAUGUAUUAUAAUUGCCAAUGAAACAACUCUCUACCCAUGCUACCAGUGACCAAAUGUCAUAAAAGUUAACAACUGUCGGUCAUCUUACAGCCUUCAAGAAUGAGCAAAACCCAUACUGCAUGGUCAGAUAUUAAAAGCUUGAAAAGGGCAAAUGUCAAACAAUUCAAAUGAGAAAGUAAUGGCAUGAUUUAUGUUAAAACAAUGAACAAAAUACAAAUGUGACAUACAUUUUGUACAGUAACAAAUGACAUCCACUGAAUUACAGGCUCCUGACAUGACUUUUUUUCAUUAUUAUUUUAAUAAUUGUUAACUUAAGGUUACCAUGGUUAUGUUUGUCAAUAUUUAAGAUUAAGAAUUAGGUCAUAAUCUAACUAACUGUAUGAAAAAGGCAAAUUAAUUAUAUCAAGUCCAAAGAUUCAUUGUCAUUAAAAUAGUAUUUAGGAGUAAUAAGAAACACUAGUCACCUUAGAGCCAGAAUAAUGUGCCUGGGAAUUAUAACUUUGAACCAGAACAAUACGAAUCAUGUUAAGCAUGUCAAUAAAGUACAAAGCAGGGGUCAUGUGACAUGAACAUGUGUUGAUAUGCAUGAUUUCUUUACUACAUUGGUUAGAGGUAUAGGGGGAGGGUUGAGAUCUCACAAACAUGUUUAACCCCGCCGCAUUUUUGCGCCUGUCCCAAGUCAGGAGCCUCUGGCCUUUGUUAGUCUUGUAUUAUUUUAAUUUUAGUUUCUUGUGUACAAUUUGGAAAUUAGUAUGGCGUUCAUUAUCACCCUUGUUAAACUCUUGCUUUACAAAAAGUGGGGGUCAUACUGUUUUACCUCUGUCGAUAUCCAUCUGUCCCAUGAAUAUUUUUCAUGGCAUCUUUCUCAGGAACUACAUCAUAAGGAUUUCUGAAAUUUGGUUGCAGGGUUUAUAUAAGUCAGCUGUACCGUGUGAUGAGUUCUCAAAUUCAUCACUCAGCAACAUGCAGUUUAAAGAACAUUUACAUAUUUUUACAUUAUUAAAAUUGGCCAGUUGUGGUGGUGGGGGGGGGGAUAUCAUCAUUGAGUAGAACUCACAGUUUCACUUGUUUUGACUCAUAAGUUACAUCUAUCAGUGACAAAAUAUUAUAUUUGAUUAACUUUUUACUUUUUCAGGAAGUUUUAAAGCAGAAAAGAG
rnacentral:lncRNA from 1 species